UACGUAGGGUGCAAGCGUUAAUCGGAAUUACUGGGCGUAAAGCGUGCGCAGGCGGUGAUGAAGACAGAUGUGAAAUCCCCGGGCUCAACCUGGGAACUGCAUUUGUGACUGCAUCGGCUGGAGUACGGCAGAGGGGGAUGGAAUUCCGCGUGUAGCAGUGAAAUGCGUAGAUAUGCGGAGGAACACCGAUGGCGAAGGCAAUCCCCUGG
rnacentral:rRNA from 1 species